UCCGUAGGCGGGCAAUUAAGUCAGAGGUGAAAUCCCACAGCUCAACUGUGGAACUGCCUUUGAUACUGGUUGUCUUGAGUUACAGUGAAGUAGGUAGAAUAUGUAGUGUAGCGGUGAAAUGCAUAGAUAUUACAUAGAAUACCGAUUGCGAAGGCAGUCUACUAACUGUAUACUGACGCUAAUAGACGAAAGCGUGGGGAGCGAACAGGAUUAGAUACCCUGGUAGUCC
rnacentral:rRNA from 1 species